AAGCAAGCCAGGAAGGAGGAGGCAGCCAGAGUGUUCUCUGCAGCAGAAGACCCCUUGCUGCCCUGCUUAACCCAGACCAGCAUUUGCCAGAAUUUGUCCUUGACAACAAAUAAAGUGAGACGAUGAGGAUCAUUCCAGCUGAAAUAACAAGCUUCUUUGGAGCUUGAAAAUACAAGCAGCCAUCAGCAUCUUCUGCUAACCUCGAGGCAACUGAAAUAUUAAAGGAGGAUCAUCUACCUGCAUCUCGUAGCAUGUUUACCAGUCGAUACACAUCUGAGCAGUUGUACUACAAAAGCUCCACAGUGAAUUAGUCCAGCAAAGGAACAGAGCAGAGCUCAAGUUCAUGCCUUGCAUUCACCCCCGAACUGCUUUUUUCUGCUAUGGUGAGGAUUUCAGAACAUUUCCUUUCUUACUUCAGCUAUAAUGAUGGAAAGCAUGUUCAUCUGUUUUUGUUCUUUUUACCAUCUCCUGCUCCAGUCUUAAAAAAGACAUGGCAUCAUUUAAUAGAAAAGUACAGCAUAAUAGUUUAGAAGAAUAACCUUUGUGGGAGUCAUG